GGCCUGCCAGCUCAGUCGGUUAGAACGUCGUGCUAAUAACGCGAAGGUCGUAGGUUCGAUCCCUGCGCAGGCCA
rnacentral:tRNA from 1 species